GUGUCGGUCAUUAAUCCCGUUAGAUUCCGUUUCGCAACCCCGGCCGAGAGGACGAGUAAAAGAAGAGAGAGAGAGAGGGAGGGCGGUUUAAUUUGGGGAGUUUUAAGGGCAUUCAUUUCUCACGUCCCCUCCUCAGGCUCCGCAGUGGAAAACCGGGACCAGCGCGGGACACGUCCCUUAAACAAAUCAUGCUGGUAUAUUUACUGAACCUGGAGGCAACAAGAGGCAAAGAAGAGUUAAAGGAAAAAACUAUACAGAGAGAGAGAGAGAGAGAGAGAGAGAGAGAGAGGUACGUAGAGCGCGCGCGCGCGCGGGGAACUCACAUCGUGCAGCGCAAUCAAAUUACGUUUUCACGCCAUCAAGUAUAAGUUUCUUGAAUCUUAAAAGUUUCAUUAAAAUUCAUCCUUUUCACGUCUGUUGGCAGUCUACAACUAUAUAUUGUGCUUCUUAUGAAAUUAAUUAACCG
rnacentral:lncRNA from 1 species